UGGGUCUUUGGGUCUUCAAGAGAUUGGGGUUGGGUCUUAGGGUCAUGGGCGUUGGGUUUUGGGGUCUUGGGGACGUUGGUUUUGGGUCUUGGGGACGUUGGCGUUGGGUGUCGGGGGCUUGGGGACGUUGUUGGGUGUCAGGGGCUUGGGGACAUGGAGAUGGUCUUGGGGUCUUGGGGACAUGGGGUCUUGGGGACAUGGGUGUUGGAUUUUGGGGUCUUGGGGACGUUGGCUUUGGGUUUUGGGGAUGUGGGUGUUGGGUGUCGGGGUCUUGGAGACAUGGAGAUGGGUCUUGGGGACAUUGGCGUUGGGUGUUGGGGUCUUGGGGACAUGGGUGUUGGGUAUCAGGGUCUUGGGGACAUUGACAUUGGGUUUUGGGGACAUCAGCGUUGAGUUUUUGGGUUUUGGGGACAUCCAGAUGUGUCUUGGGGACAUUGACGUUGGGGUUUUGGGUCUUGAGGACAUCAGCGUUGGGUUUUUGGGUUUUGGGGACAUUGCCUUUGGGUCUUGGGGACGUUGACGUUGGGUUUUGGGGACAUCAGCGUUGAGUUUUUGGUUUUUGGGGGACAUUGCCUUUGGGUCUUGGGGACAUUGACGUUGGGUUUUGGGGACAUCAGCGUUGAGUUUUUGGGUUUUGGGGGCAUCAAGAUGUUUUUUGGGGACAUUGGCAUUGGGUUUUUGGGUUUUGGCGACAUCAGCGUUGGGUUUUGAGCCCAUUAGCGCUGAAUUUGGCUCUUUUCGAGCUUUUUUCGCUGCCCUGC
rnacentral:lncRNA from 1 species